rnacentral:pre_miRNA from 1 species
AGUGGGAUAGCUGGAUCAAAUGGUUCUAUUCCAAGUUUUUGAGGAAUCUUCAUACUGCUUUCCAGAGUGGUUGCAUCAAUUUGAAGUCCCCCCAGCAAU